rnacentral:rRNA from 1 species
CCGAGUUGAUUCGGGCUCCGGCCCGAUCCUCCCACCCUUUGUGUACCUACCUCUGUUGCUUUGGCGGGCCGCGGUCCUCCGCGGCCGGCCCCCCUCCCCGGGGGGUGGCCAGCGCCCGCCAGAGGACCAUCAAACUCCAGUCAGUAAACGAUGCAGUCUGAAAAACAUUUAAUAAACUAAAACUUUCAACAACGGAUCUCUUGGUUCUGGCAUCGAUGAAGAACGCAGCGAAAUGCGAUAAGUAAUGUGAAUUGCAGAAUUCAGUGAAUCAUCGAAUCUUUGAACGCACAUUGCGCCCUUUGGUAUUCCGAAGGGCAUGCCUGUUCGAGCGUCAUUACAACCCUCAAGCUCUGCUUGGUAUUGGGCACCGUCCUUUGCGGGCGCGCCUCAAAGACCUCGGCGGUGGCGUCUUGCCUCAAGCGUAGUAGAACAUACAUCUCGCUUCGGAGCGCAGGGCGUCGCCCGCCGGACGAACCUUCUGAACUUUUCUCAAGGUUGACCUCGGAUCAGGUAGGGAUACCCGCUGAACUUAAGCAUAUCAUA